rnacentral:rRNA from 1 species
CGGAGGAUCCAAGCGUUAUCCGGAAUCAUUGGGUUAAAGGGUCCGUAGGCGGUUUUAUAAGUCAGUGGUGAAAUCUGGUCGCUCAACGAUCAAACGGCCAUUGAUACUGUAAGACUUGAAUUACUUGGAAGUAACUAGAAUAUGUAGUGUAGCGGUGAAAUGCUUAGAGAUUACAUGGAAUACCAAUUGCGAAGGCAGGUUACUACAAGUAUAUUGACGCUGAUGGACGAAAGCGUGGGGAGCGAACAGGAUUAGAUACCCUGGUAGUCCACGCCGUAAACGAUGGAUACUAGCUGUUUGGAGCAAUCUGAGUGGCUAAGCGAAAGUGAUAAGUAUCCCACCUGGGGAGUACGCUCGCAAGAGUG